rnacentral:snRNA from 1 species
GUGCUUAGUUCAGCAACACAUACACUAAAGUUGGAAUGACACAAAGAAGGCAACAUGGCCCCUGCACAAGGGUGGCACACAAGUUCAUGAAGCGUUCCAUAUUUAA